rnacentral:rRNA from 1 species
UGGGGAAUAUUGGACAAUGGGCGAAAGCCUGAUCCAGCCAUGCCGCGUGUGUGAAGAAGGUCUUCGGAUUGUAAAGCACUUUAAGUUGGGAGGAAGGGCAGUAAGCGAAUACCUUGCUGUUCUGACGUUACCGACAGAAUAAGCACCGGCUAACUCUGUGCCAGCAGCCGCGGUAAUACAGAGGGUGCAAGCGUUAAUCGGAAUUACUGGGCGUAAAGCGCGCGUAGGUGGUUCGUUAAGUUGAAUGUGAAAGCCCCGGGCUCAACCUGGGAACUGCAUCCAAAACUGGCGAGCUAGAGUAGGGCAGAGGGUGGUGGAAUUUCCUGUGUAGCGGUGAAAUGCGUAGAUAUAGGAAGGAACACCAGUGGCGAAGGCGACCACCUGGGCUCAUACUGACACUGAGGUGCGAAAGCGUGGGGAGCAAACAGG